rnacentral:rRNA from 1 species
CUCAGACUGAACGCUGGCGGCAUGGCUAAAGCAUGCAAGUCGAACGAGCCCGCAAGGGCAAGUGGCGGACGGGUUAGUAAUGCGAUCGAACGUACCCAGAGGUGGGGGGAUAGCGGUGGGAAACUGCCGGUAAUACCCCAUGUGCUCCUCGGAGGAAAGGUUUACCGCCUUUGGAUCGGCGAUCGUCCUAUCAGGUAGUUGGCGGGGUAAAAGCCCACCAAGCCGAAGACGGGUAGCGGGUGUGAGAGCACGGCCCGCAACAUCGGAACUGAGAUACUGUCCGGACUCCUACGGGAGGCUGCAGCAACGAAUCUUCCGCAAUGGGGCGCAAGCCUGACGGAGCAAUGCCGCGUGUGGGAUGAAGUGCCUCCGGCAUGUAAACCACUGUCAGAAAGCAGAAACACUGAUUGCUUUCAAAGGAAGUGGCGACUAACUCUGUGCCAGCAGUCGCGGUAAUACAGAGGCCACAAGCGUUAGGUCGGAAUUACUGGGCUUAAAGGGUGCGUAGGCGG